UUCCUACUGCCAGGACAUACAGUCCUUUCUACCAGUAAACACUUCCUACUGUCAGGACAUGACAUGCCAGUCCUUUCUACCAGUAAACACUUCCUACUGUCAGGACAUGACAUGCCAGUCCUUUCUACCGGUAAACACUUCCUACUGUCAGGACAUACAGUCCUUUCUACCAGUAAACACUUCCUACUGCCAGGACAUGACAUGCCAGUCCUUUCUACCAGUAAACACUUCCUAGCAGUGUGGGUCUCCGUGUUCUCAUGUGACCGUAGAGAAGGAGACCAGAUCUGGGUUCAAAUACUCUUUGAAAUCAUUUCAAGUACUGUAUGUAACUGUGAUUAAUUUAGCUUGCCUGGUGUAAUGAAACCAAUAGAAAUGCCAACUCUGGUCACAUGGCACAUUAGCCAGACUAAAGCAAACGCUCAAGGUAUGUGAAAUAAUUGGAUUAGUAUUUAACCCAGGUCUGAAGAGGACUGGUGUGGUGUAAAGGUUAGUCAGAAACAACUGACCUGAAUAUGAAACUGUUUAUAAAUAGAUAUGUAUCCUGAUCUGUCAUCUCUACCCUGCAACCAGGCUGCUUCUCUGUCACAACAUCACUGUUUAUGCCCUCCUGCAGACCCUGAUCUGUCAUCUCCAACCAGGCUGCUUCUCUGUCACAACAUCACUGUUUAUGCCCUCCUGCAGACCCUGAUCUGUCAUCUCCAACCAGGCUGCUUCUCUGUCACAACAUCACUGUUUAUGCCCUCCUGCAGACCCUGAUCUGUCAUGUGUUUGCAUUCUAUUUUGUAAUAAACCCUUCUCCUACUUCCUGAUUCAUUGCUUGUGUUGUGAGAUCUGUCAUUUUCCUAUGCUUGACUGAUGCAGUAUCAUUGACCCAGGAGGAGGAUUGUCCCAUUCAUUAUAGUACUCUAUGUUUACUAUCUUUAAAUCAUGUUAUGUGGUCUGGCAGGCCACGCUCCCGUUGGACCAGCCUCUCCUGUUGGGCCAGCCUUUCCUGUUGGGCCAGCCUCUCCUGUUGGGCCAGCCUCUCCUGUUGGGCCAGCCUUUCCUGUUGGGC
rnacentral:lncRNA from 13 species